rnacentral:rRNA from 1 species
GGAGUCUGGUCCGUGUCUCAGUACCAGUGUGGGGGACCUUCCUCUCAGAACCCCUACCGAUCGAUGGCACGGUGGGCCGUUACCCCGCCGUCUGCCUAAUCGGACGCAUCCCCAUCCGCAAGCAAUAAAUCUUUAACCCUCUUCAGAUGUCAUCAAAGGGCCACAUAGGGCAUUAAUCCGAAUUUCUCCGGGCUAUUCCCUACUUGCAGGCAGGUUGGAUACGCGUUACUCACCCGUGCGCCGGUCGCCAUCAAAGAUUGCAAGCAAUCUCCAUGCUGCCCCUCGACUUGCAUGUGUUAAGCCUGUAGCUAGCGUUCAUC